UCGGGAAUUUUGGGCAAUGGGCAAAAGCCUGACCCAGCAACGCCGCGUGAGGGAUGAAGUAUUUCGGUAUGUAAACCUCGAAAGAAUGGGAAGAAUAAAUGACGGUACCAUUUAUAAGCUCCGGCUAACUACGUGCCAGCAGCCGCGGUAAUACGUAGGGAGCAAGCGUUGUUCGGAUUUACUGGGCGUAAAGGGCGCGUAGGCGGCGCGGUAAGUCACUUGUGAAAUCUCUGAGCUUAACUCAGAACGGCCAAGUGAUACUGCUGUGCUAGAGUGCGGAAGAGGCAACCGGAAUUCUUGGUGUAGCGGUGAAAUGCGUAGAUAUCAAGAGGAACACCUGAGGCGAAGGCGGGUUGCUGGGCCGACACUGACGCUGAUGCGCGAAAGCCAGGGGAGCAAACG
rnacentral:rRNA from 1 species